CCUACGGGAGGCAGCAGUGGGGAAUUUUCCGCAAUGGGCGAAAGCCUGACGGAGCAACGCCGCGUGAGGGAUGAAGGCCUCUGGGCUGUAAACCUCUUUUUUCGAGGAAGAAGAUCUGACGGUACUUGAAGAAUAAGCCACGGCUAAUUCCGUGCCAGCAGCCGCGGUAAUACGGGAGUGGCAAGCGUUAUCCGGAAUUAUUGGGCGUAAAGCGUCCGCAGGCGGCCAUGUAAGUCUGUCGUUAAAGCGUGGAGCUUAACUCCAUUUCAGCGAUGGAAACUGCAAGGCUUGAGUGUGGUAGGGGCAGAGGGAAUUCCCGGUGUAGCGGUGAAAUGCGUAGAUAUCGGGAAGAACACCAGUGGCGAAGGCGCUCUGCUGGGCCAUAACUGACGCUCAUGGACGAAAGCCAGGGGAGCGAAAGGGAUUAGAUACCCCUGUAGUCCUGGCCGUAAACGAUGAACACUAGGUGUCGGGGGAAUCGACCCCCUCGGUGUCGUAGCCAACGCGUUAAGUGUUCCGCCUGGGGAGUACGCACGCAAGUGUGAAACUCAAAGGAAUUGACGG
rnacentral:rRNA from 1 species